CCAAACACACCACCUGGAUGCAGGUGAAGAGAUGCAUGCGCAGCGUACGGACCUGAGGGGGCAGAGGACGGCGACAUCAACUCUCAGAAGCAAUAGAAACGAGCGUUUAGCUCAAUCAUGGAGGUCCUACAUCGUAGAACGUGGCUCCUCUCACCUUGCGGACGUAGGUGUGGUCGGGGUGGUACUUUGGCGGCAUGAGGAGCAGCAUCAUCCGCUCUGUUAGCUGGAUGCCGUUGAGCGACAUCACGCCCAUGUAGAGGAAGAUGCCGAACAGAACGGCCAGCGGGAUCUGACGCAGCAGGUCUCCGAUGACGAUGGACAGGCCUGGACGAGACGAGGUGGAAAAUGAGGUUUCACGUGAAUUAAAAGCACGAAUUCCAUCAGACAGAAGAGGGGAUGCUUCGCUGUGCGACACUCACCAACCAGGAUGGCGACCAGCAGCCCGGUGACCCGCUGCUCCUUCACUUCCUGGAUGCGAGGCUUGUCUCCGGGGGCGACGGCUUUACUCAUGACGGUGAGGGCGUUGACGUGGGUCACCGAGCGGACGGUGGCGGCGGCCAUCCACGGAAGGCCGAACAGAGCAGAGCUUCCACCCAGAACCACGAUGAGCAGCAGGUCCAGGUGGAAACCAGAACCUUUCACCAGCAUCCGCUCCUUCUUACUGACGAUGAGGCUGCAGGAAGACAAACAGACGUAAACGACAGGAGAGACUCUAGUUUGAGACGCAAAGCCACUGGUUUCUUCUUUAGUUUUAUUUAAGGCACAUCGACUGAUUCAUGCAGCCUCUCUAGGGUUAAUGGCAUCUUUAAUAUCCUUUAUUUCUAUUAAAAUUAAUAGUGAUACAGACAAAUGAGAAUAACUUUAUAGCUUUAAGUCAGGACAGCAUGACAGUAUUUUAUUGAUGCUCUAAAAAUCAGACAAUCUGGCUGACAUGUUUCAUGUGUUCACAGGAUUUUUUUCUGCUCAGAAUGGGCCUCAGUAGGGAAACUAAAAGCAACAGUAAUGAUCAGAGUCUGUUCCCUUAUGUUGCAGAAAUCUAAACAUUUUCUUCUUUUUUUCUGACCCUUUAAUGAAGAAUAUUGUCUACUAUGCUUGAAUAAAUCAAACCCCACUGAACUAAACUUGUUCAAAUAAGAAAAAUGUUAUAUUUUGGAUUCAUACUUUGCUGUGACGGGUGAUUUUCCAGCUGAAACAAAACUCUUUGUGGAGCGCAAAAAGAUCCUAAAUGGAGGAAAAACUCUGGGAUACAUUCAGUAUCUCUAUAACUGGUGGAGUUUGGUCUUGUUGGACAGAGCUUACCAUGUAAUGCACAGAUUGUAAAACCCCAUGGGGUAAAUUUGUGAUUUUGGAUUAUAAAAGUAAAUUUGUGACAAAAUAAAGGUGUGUGGAUUAUGA